ACACGUGGGCAAUCUGCCCUGCACUCUGGGACAAGCCCUGGAAACGGGGUCUAAUACCGGAAUAAUACUGUGCCCCUCCUGGGGGACGGUUGAAAGGUCCGGCGGUGCAGGAUGAGCCCGCGGCCUAUCAGCUUGUUGGUGGGGUAAUGGCCUACCAAGGCGACGACGGGUAGCCGGCCUGAGAGGGCGACCGGCCACACUGGGACUGAGACACGGCCCAGACUCCUACGGGAGGCAGCAGUGGGGAAUAUUGCACAAUGGGGCGAAAGC
rnacentral:rRNA from 1 species